rnacentral:SRP_RNA from 1 species
GGUGGACCCCGCGCGGCGUUUAUCCUGUGAACUCCCCCAGGGCCGGAAGGCAGCAAGGGUCAACGGGCUCUAGCGGGUGCGCGGGGUCCCCCAUG